rnacentral:tRNA from 1 species
UGGAUGAUGCCUGAGUGGUCAAAAGGAAUUGACUGUAAAUCAAUCGCUUAAUAGCUUCGGGGGUUCAAAUCCCUCUCCUCCAA